rnacentral:pre_miRNA from 1 species
AGAGGGAUAGCUGGGUCAAAUAGUGAUUCUAUUCCAAGUUUUCUGAGGAACCUCCAUACUGCUUUCCAAAAUGAUAGCAUCAAUUUGCAUUCCCACCAGCAGU